rnacentral:rRNA from 1 species
GUGGGGAAUAUUGCACAAUGGGCGAAAGCCUGAUGCAGCAACGCCGCGUGAACGAUGAAGGUCUUCGGAUCGUAAAGUUCUGUUGCAGGGGAAGAUAAUGACGGUACCCUGUGAGGAAGCCCCGGCUAACUACGUGCCAGCAGCCGCGGUAAUACGUAGGGGGCUAGCGUUAUCCGGAUUUACUGGGCGUAAAGGGUGCGUAGGUGGUCCUUCAAGUCGGUGGUUAAAGGCUACGGCUCAACCGUAGUAAGCCGCCGAAACUGGAGGACUUGAGUGCAGGAGAGGAAAGUGGAAUUCCCAGUGUAGCGGUGAAAUGCGUAGAUAUUGGGAGGAACACCAGUAGCGAAGGCGGCUUUCUGGACUGCAACUGACACUGAGGCACGAAAGCGUGGGUAGCAAACAGG